rnacentral:rRNA from 1 species
GGAUUAGAUACCUGGUAGUCCUAGCGUUAAACGAUGCAUACUAGAUGUAGGAGGGCUCAACCCCUUUCUGUAUCGGAGCUAACGCAUUAAGUAUGCCGCCUGGGGAGUACGCUCGCAAGGGUGAAACUCAAAAGAAUUGACGGGGGCCCGCACAAGCAGUGGAGCAUGUGGUUUAAUUCGACGCAACGCGAAGAACCUUACCUGGGCUCGAAAUGUAGAGGACCGUACCAGAGAUGGUAUUUCUCGAAAGAGUCUCUAUAUAGGUGCUGCAUGGCUGUCGUCAGCUCGUGCCGUGAGGUGUUUGGUUAAGUCCAGCAACGAGCGCAACCCUUAUCGUUAGUUACCAACGCGUAAUGGCGGGAACUCUAACGAGACUGCCUGGGUUAACCAGGAGGAAGGUGAGGAUGACGCCAAGUCCGCAUGGCCUUUAUGUCCAGGGCAACACACGUGCUACAAUGGUCGGUACAGAAGGCAGCGAAACCGCGAGGUGAAGCAAAUCCUACAAAACCGAUCUCAGUUCAGAUUGGAGUCUGCAACUCGACUCCAUGAAGUUGGAAUUGCUAGUAAAGGCGUGUCAGCUACAACGCCUUGAAUACGUUCCCGGGCCUUGUACACACCGCCCGUCACAUCAUGGGAGUUGGUUUUACCCGAAGUCACUGACCCGACCGCAAGGAGGGAGGUGCCUAAGGUAAGGCCGAUGACUGGGAUGAAGUCGUUAACAAGGUAACA